GAGAGAAUCGGUCAUCACCAGUGUUUAUGGUGAGGCCGUGACGAGAGGAACUACCCGUACGUAAACAUUGCUGGUCAUCGUGAGUAAAGUUCCUCCUUCCCUGUGGCGUACAACCCAGUAGUGCAGUGGUGGAUUUAGCCAGGGAGUCCGAGAGUCACGUCGACGUCCUCGACGUCGUCGCCGCCUUCGCCGCCGUCGGAAAAUAGAUCGGGAACGUCUUCGGAGAAGCAGGUCGGCGGGGCUUAAGUGUGAGAGAAAUAACAACGUCGUCGGAGGAAGGAAGGAAGGUGUUAUAGAGUAGAAAGUUCGUUCGGGGCUUUACAACCAAGUCUGCCGAAGGGACAUCCUCCCUCGCUCUCUCUCUCUCUCUCUCCUUAUCUGUAUUCUUCUCCCCCUGAAGGAGGAAGAGGAGGAGAAGACGAAGGACACGGCCUGCUGUUUAUAUUUCCCCGCAGGAAUAUAUCUUGAACAGCAGAAGGAGGACCUCCCUGCCGCUGCUGCUACAGCAGCAGUAGGACUUCUCGGAAGAAUAUACCCCGACCGCCUCAACGCUUAGUCAGGUAAGCUACACAUAUCUGCAAGGAUUAAAAUUGAACAGUCUACCGACGGAGAGAUCGGUGAGAAUUUGCCCAAGUAAGGAGCUGGUUGAUUUCUAUGCAUAGGCCUAUAUAGGUACGUGAUACAUAAAUCAGAACUUCAGGGUGGAUUCAGAGAAGCGAUUCGUGUUUUUUAAAG